AGGGAAUCUUCGGCAAUGGACGAAAGUCUGACCGAGCAACGCCGCGUGAGUGAAGAAGGCUUUCGGAUCGUAAAACUCUGUUGUUAGAGAAGAACAAGGAUGAGAAGAGAAUGUUCAUCCCUUGACGGUAUCUAACCAGAAAGCCACGGCUAACUACGUGCCAGCAGCCGCGGUAAUACGUAGGUGGCAAGCGUUGUCCGGAUUUAUUGGGCGUAAAGCGAGCGCAGGCGGUUCUUUAAGUCUGAUGUGAAAGCCCCCGGCUUAACCGGGGAGGGUCAUUGGAAACUGGGGAACUUGAGUGCAGAAGAGGAGAGUGGAAUUCCAUGUGUAGCGGUGAAAUGCGUAGAUAUAUGGAGGAACACCAGUGGCGAAGGCAGCCUCCUGGGAUAACACUGACGUUCAUGCUCGAAAGCGUGGAUAGCAAAC
rnacentral:rRNA from 1 species